rfam:Camelus ferus unplaced genomic scaffold scaffold2411, whole genome shotgun sequence.
GGAGGGUACAGCUCAGUGGUAGAGUCCCUGCUUAGCGUGCGUGAGGUCCUGGGUUCAAUCCCCAGCACCUCCA